GUAUGUGGAUGAAAAUGAGAUUCCCGGAUGUUAUGUUUCCUCCCAGGUAUCCGGGUCCAGGACAUCUUAAAUUGAGUCCUCAGCAUUCUUAAGCUGGAGGAUGAACAGCCAGAGGUCGUGGUCCAUAGAGGUACCAAUGACCUGGAUAGGAUUAAUGACAAGGUUCUGCUUAGGGAGUUGGGUGCUGUUAAAGGACAGUACCUGCAGGGUUGUGAUUUCAGGAUUGCUACCCGUGCCACAUGCUAGUGAGGCCAGAACUAGGAAGAUUACACAGUUUAACACAUGGCUGGGGAGUUGGUGUAGGAGGGAGGAUGUAAGAUUUUUGGAUCAUUAGACUCUUCCAGGAAAGGUGAGACCUGUACAGAAGGGAUGGCUUGCACCUAAACUGGAGGGGAACUAAUAUCCUAGUGGGAAAGUUUGCUAAUGCUGCACAGUGGGGUUUAAACUGGAGUUGCAUGGGGAUAGGCACCAGAAUGCUAGAAGUUAGUGAAGAGGUCGUGGAGGCAGAUGCUGGUAAGACCUCAGACCUCAGGAGUCAAAAAGAUUGAGCAUGGUGUAUAUUUCAAUGCAAAGUUUCAUAGGAAAGGCAGAUGAGCUCAGGGCAUAGAUCAACACCAGAAAUUAUGAUAUUGUAGCCAUUAGUGAAACUUGGUUGCAUGAGGGAGAGGACUGGCAACUCAAUAUUCCAGGAUUCUGUUGUUUUAGAUAUGACCAAGUGGGAUGGAUUAAAGGAGGAGUAUUGGCGUUACUAGUUAGGGAAAAUGUCACUGCAGUGCUCUGUCAAGACAGACUGGAGAACUCAACUAGUGAGAUCUUAUGGGUGGAACUGAGAAAUAAGAUUGAGAGGACAUUUGAUAGAGGUAUACAAAAUUAUGAGGGGUACAGAUAAGGCUUUUUCCACUGAUGUUGGGUGAGACUACAACCAGAGGUCUUGGCUUAAGAGUGAAAGAUGAGAAGUUUAAGGGGAACAUGAGGGGAAACCUCUUCAUUCUGAGGGUCAUGAGAGUGUGGAAUGAGCUGCCAGUACAAGUGGUGCAUGCAAGCUCGAUUUCAACUUUUAAGAGAAGUUUGGAUAGAUACAUGUAUAGUAGGGAUAUGGAGGGCUAUGGUCCCUAUGCAAGUCAAUGGAAGUAGACAGUUCUGCAUGAACUAGAUGGGCUGAGGAGCAUGUUUCUGUGCUGUACUUCCCUAUGUCAGCAACAACGAGAACCCUUCUGAGCACCAGUAAACAUGAAGUGAAUACAGACAAUUCCUACAGAAACAACUGAAACUAAGAGUCACACAAGCAUAUUGGAGGAUGGUACAAAGGAUUAGUUCCUCUUUAUCUGUCAUUUCUCUAAUGGCAUGAUGGAAACCUGAUUAAAAAAUUCAUGAUUGGAGCUUUGGAAUGAAUGGCACAGAUUUGAAAUCAAAUAGGAUUUAAAAUAAAUGACAGAGUAAACCAGCCAGAAGUUAAUUUUAUAAUCUAAGAUGAUUACAGAAUAGGAAUGGUAAUAGGAGCUAAGGUGGUACAACCAGUUUUUAAUGUUUAGCAAAAUUAGUAAUUCACUAUAAUCUUAUGAAAAACCAUCAAUAUGAAGUUUCAAAUCUAAUCACUUUUUGCAGAUCCUGUUUGACCUGCUGGGUCCAGCAUUGUUUCCUUUCAGAUUGACAGCACCUGCAGGAGAUAUGAAAACGCAGAUGCUGGAAGGCAGAGGAAAACUGUCAACAUUUCGGGCAAAUCCCUAAUCACUACUGAUGACAAACCCAACUCCGCCAUAGACAGUGCCAAGUCCGGCUGCAAAAGGAGGAGAGUUGGACAUGGGGCAAGCAACCCCAUCCCAUAAUAACCCAGUGGAAAAGAAUUGCCAACAGAAGCUCUCAGACAUCCCUGGGAGAGGAAGUAUCUUCACCUAGAAGACGCAUAUAGAAGAGCUACACUUGGACUUGAAAGACUGGCCCAGGUCAGAGGACUCUGGCGAGCUGCUGUUGGCGCCCUAUGUCCCAGUAAGGGUGAUGGGCUUAAGAAGAUGAUGACUGAAACCACACAAUCUUUUGCUUCAUGUAAAACAUACCCAAAAGUAAAUAAAAAUUCCAAAAAAUACAACCUGUUUUAUUAAAUUUAUUGAUUUACUAUCAAUAUUAGAGGCAAAUUAGUAUAGCACUAGCCACGAGGCAAUGGGCAAGUUCAGCCCAUCUUUAUUCUUCAUUUCAAACACUUGGUCCUUUUGUCUAAUCUGAUCUCCAUUCUUUAGGAUUGAUCUUGCCAAUUGGCGACAAGUUCCAUGUGAUUCCAGCCUGUGUGGAAACCUA